rnacentral:lncRNA from 1 species
AGUCGGUUUUCUUAUGUAAUUUGGCUUUCAAGCGAUUGCGAUCAAUGCACUCAAUCUGUUUGUUGACUUGCCGAUUUUAGCUUUUGUUUUUAUUGCAUGCCCCUUUUUUUUCAAAAAAAAAAAAAAAAUCAAGUGAGGUUUGGCUUAUUCGGAUCUUUUAUUUUUAUUUUUUUCGUUUUUUAUUUCAUCCGUCAUAAUUGUUAUUUAGAGUGGAAGCAAAACGGGUAUAAAAUUGGUUGCAGGUGCCACUCGUAACAAAUAUGAAUAAUUUAUUUGGCUCAUUCAUAAUAACAUCUUAUUUUUCAUCUUAUUCCAGUUAAAUAUUUAAUUUAUGAAUUUAGGUUGCAAAUCUUCAGAUGCAUCUUUUCACCAUUGGAGUUCUUUUUUUACCUCUCUAGUACAUGUUUGAUGCAUCUUAUGAAUGUAAGAAUUUCUUCCUUCAUGUGGUACACUCUCCAUAUUGGAGUGGUUAAUGGAUGUUUCCAAUCACAACCUAUAAUCACUUAAUUUGCCUCUCUGUGGGUCUUAAUAAUCCAUGCCCCACCAUUCUUUACAUCCACAACUACUUUGCGCCAUAUCGACUCUUUUAGGUACUUCUUUAAUGGCUAUUGUUGUUGAGUUCUUUUGGCUUGUAUUGCGAUAUGGACUGGAUCUCAAUACUGAUAGCUUUUGUGGGUUACCAUGAAAUAGUUCUAAAUACUUAUUAGUGUUGGUAUAUGUUGGUUAGGUAGGGAUGCUUUACUUGUGCAUGUCAUUUAGCUGUCUUGUUCCUUCUUUGUCUUGGGUUUUACUUCAAUUGAUUACUGGGGUUUUUUGAAGGCUGUAUUCUACCUGAUGAUACAUAUUUUUAUCUACCUAAUUUUAUCUUGCAGUUGAAUUUUAUUUAUCCUAGCUGGAUGUAAGUAUUCUCUUUUAGAUAUAUAUGGACUGUUUUUUUAAACUUGAACAAAUUUGAAGUCAAACUCCAACAUAAGAAACUUAUUUUGGGUGCUAAAGUUCUCCAGUAAUUUUCACUGUAAUUCCCUUUACUAGUUGACUGUAUUUUGUUCUUUUAGGAAAUCGCUUUCUAGUUAUGAUGUCUACUGCAUUCGCUCUGUUUAGGAUAAACUUCAAACUAUUAUUGGCUGUUCUUUUUCCAACAUCUCUUGCUCUAUUUUUCAGAAUCAGUAAUUACUUCUAUUUUUUCUUUGUAUUCCUAGUCAACCUUUUUUUUUUAAAAAAAAAUCUGAUAAUGAUGAAAAUGAUUUCAAAUUUUCAGCUCAUUUCGUGAGAGAUAUAAGUUUAAAAUGGAUCGCCGCUGGCCAUGGAAGAAGAAAUCUUCUGAGAAAGCAUCUACAGCAGAUUCAUUGAAUGCAACUUUACCUAGUUUGGAUGGCAACCAAGCAGAUCAGGUUCAUUCACCUUUGAUUGAAAUGUAGUUUUUCCUGAUUGUAGUGUGUUGUGCCUUUUUCGCUAUCUUCCAUUGCCUGUUGUCUUUCUAUUUUACCUUGUUUAGCCUUUUCUGUUCUAAAAACUGCAUUUCAGGAGUUUGAGAUCAUCAAUAUUUGCUUCAAUGAUCAUUAGGAUUGUUGGUUAAAACUUCAUUUUGAAAAAAGAGGGACACACCGUUCAUCAUAUCAACUUUCUUCAGCCAAUUUACUUGUUGUAAAAAUUCUCUCUAGUUUAACUUGUUAAGGGUAAUUAAACUAAGGAUAUUUUAAUUUGACUGCAUCAGUGCAAUCCUCCAUUUGUAUAAUACUCACUUUCAGAUCAUGCAAAGGUUUGCUGUCUUGUUUGCUAAUAAAACUGCCCCUGAUAUUGUCUUUAAGUGCUAAAAUCAUAAUACCUUGCAUUUGGGUCAUGUAAUCCUUUGGUAUUUUUGUCAUGGAAGUCAGCAUCUUUUGUUGAGGAUCAUUAUCCAUGUUAUUGGGGAUCGAAAGGACAAAAAUCUAUCAUCUAACUGCUUGUUGUUAUUUGUUUGUCAUUACUUUAGGAUCAUUAUCCUGGAUAUUAGCGACUGGAAGGCCAGAAAUGUGACACCUCAGUAGUCCAUAUUGGAUUAUGCAGGAGAAUGUGAGGGUUAUAUAUGUGAUGGGCAUAUUAGGACUAAUAACUGGGUUAAGCAUUUUGGGCUAGUGAUUUGGGCCCAACAAGUUAGUAGUGUUGGUGGGUCGGAUCGUUACAGUUGGUGUCAAAGCUAGAUUACUAGCCGGUAGUGUGAGAUGAGUCUUACACCGCCUGGUGAAUCUUGAGCUAUGUAUGUGAUUGGGGCCGGGCUGUCGAGAAUGUCAGGCCUAAACAGAGGGAGCAUGUUGCACCCCAAUAAUCCCACAUCGGAUUAUGUGGUAGAAUGUGAGCGUUAUAUAUGUGAUGGACACACUAGAAUUAAUAACUAUGUUCAAGCAUUUUGGGCCAUUGGUUAGGGCCCAACAAGUUAUUAGUGCUAGUGGGCUGGAUUUUCACAAGAAUCUGUCAUUCAACUGUUUGUAUUUAUUUGUUUUCCAUUAUUGAUGGAAUUAGUCUUACUGCUACUUAUUGAGAAUUUAGAUCUAUCUUAGCUUGUUUGCUUUUUUACUUUCUUUUAGGAGCGAUUUUAACCCUUAUCCAUUCAUUCACCUGAUUCUUGUUUGCUUUCAUCAUCUGAUCAGAUUUAUAUGUAUGUUUUUUAUCUGAUCAAGGAGUUGCUCACUAUCAUUUACUUACUCCCCUUUCUUCUCUCACUUUACAUAUUCAGUUUUAAGUUAUGCUCCGUGGCAUGUUAUGAGUGAGCUAUCUAUUUAUGAUUAUUAACACAACAUUUACAUGCCCUUUGCAUGAUAAUCCAAAUUAUUUUCAUGUCGUCUUAAUCUUCCAGGAUCAAUAAGAUCCUUCUUCACUAUUCUUCAUUUGAGAUGUUCGAUUCUCAAUGAAACUGUUUUUAUGUUGAUUUGCUACUAGAAUAACUGCAUCUUCUUUCAUGUGUUUCUUUAAUGUAUUUAAUCUUCUAUUUAUGAUCCUCAAAGAAUGGAAAUAAAGUAUACUAUCGCCUUUAAAUGUACAUGUAAAAGUUUAAAUAUUCUAAAAUGCUGAUAAGCAGGUUUAAGACUUCCUUGGAAAGCUCCUUUAUGUGAAAUCGACACAAACUGGAUUUGCUAGAAAAUUCAGGAAUUCUGCACUGCUAAUUGGUAGAAACUGUAUUGGUAGGAACUGUAGAUUUAAUUCACACAAUAUGAAAGGCCUUAAUGGAGGACCUUGAGCAUAGUACAACUGUUUUAAUUGGACUUGGGGGCUUGAAAUAGAGUAGAGACUUUAUUCUAAAUGUUAAAAGAAUGUUAGAGAGAGCCACUUAACCUAAUGGUCUGCGACUGAAUACAAUUUCAUAUACUAUUGUAAGCACAAAUAACAAGUUUAACCAAUAAAGCAACAGUAACUGCAUUGACAGUGUUGUGAUCUCUGUCUCAUCUGUUGAUGAUGAUCUCUGUUUCAUUACCUUUUUGUGAUUUUCUUAGGCAGCAUUCUACUUUCUUUACUGUCAUCUUUUUUUCUUUUUUUUCCCCCUUUCUUUAUCAUGAGUUUUCCUUUUUCUAUAUUUUUAUUUGAUACUGGAAUAUAUAUAUGUAAACUGUAAAAGAAGCUCUCACGUGUUUGAAGCACUUGAAUUUUGAUGUUCAUGACUGUCGACCAACUCGAAUGUGCACAACAUUACUCAUUUCCAAUCACAUUGCAUAACCGAGCUAUUAUCUGUGGUAUAAUAGUUUGAUUGGAUUAAGACACCAUUCAAUUUUUGUCUUUUUUUAUGUAAUUGGACAUUAGUCUAGUUUCGUUUAAUUCCUAGUCAUUAUACUUCAAUUGCAACUUAAGUGCAGGAUGCUAGUUGCUAACAAUUGGCUUGCCAAAAACUUUUUUUCUGUAAAUUUCUUGAUUCAAUUUAGUUCCUCACCAUUUUUAGUUACUCUACUAGUUGGAUCUAGUUUUAUAUGGAAUAUGUUACUACUAAGUAAAUUGGAAUGCCCUAUCCUAUCUUCCUCAAACUUAAUCCCGAACUAGAUGGCAAAUUACAUUUUAACUUAGUUCUUUGUCAGCGGGGCCUUCACGCUUUUCUUGUUUAGGACUAUGUUGCAUCAAUCAGAAUUUAUACCUGAAAAGGAUGAAUUUAAAUUAUUCAACCACUAUAGAUGAAAUAUCAGGAUUAAUCAUCCCUUCUUUCGACUUUUUGGAGUUCCAUGCUACCAAUUUACUCCAUCCAAGUGGUCUAAUACAAAUAUAUUAAACAUUACUUACUUUUCAACGUACUCAUCUCACUUAGUUAUCGUAAUUUCCUACUAGUGUACAAUUGCUUUUGUGCUACCUCUCCUUUGUUGUAUAUUCUUCUUUAUUCCUCCUAUAGAUUGCAGAAGAUCAUGAUAAUAUCAUUCUUGACAAAUACUUGACAAAAAUCAAUCCUUUAUUUGCAGGAAAAUUCUAAAACUGUUAGUCACGUGCAGAUUUCCCCAGAAACAUAUGCUUAUUUCACUGAUUUGGAAGAACAGGUGAAGAUCUUAAAUGAAAAGGUCGGCGUCUUAAAUGAGAAACUCUCUGCCGCAGAAUCUGAGAUGACUACCAAAGAAACUCAUGUAAAGCAGCAUGCUAAAGUUGCUGAAGAAGCAGUCUCAGGUAUGACAACCAUUUACUUCAUGUUAAUCAGUUAUUUUAGAUUCUUUGCAUAAUUUAUACUUAUUUUACUAUGGGUCUCUUAGAAAUUUAGUUGAAAAAUGCCCCUUAUUUUGAUUACAGUUCUCAAAGUUUCAAUUUAGCAAUUUAGUCCCUGAAGUUUGUAACAUGUAGCAAUUAAAGUCCUCUCAGUCUAUCGUCUAAGAAGGCACCAUAUCAGCAUCCUUAUUUCAGUUAGCUGACAUGGCCUUUUUCUGACAUUUUGAUUUUUUAACGAUGACGCUAAGGUGACAUUCCCUUUAGAUGGUAGGCCAAUGGUAGAGCUGAAAUGCUAUGGGGAGCAUACUUUAGCGACUAAAAAUAAGGGUCAAGCUAGGACUGAAUUCCAUAAUAAUUAACCAUUUUUGGAAGAUUUCUACUUUAGCAUAAUCACAUAUUUUAUGUACUCCAAUCUUUUUCUUGUAGGUUGGGAGAAAGCAGAAGCAGAAGCCACUGUGCUAAAGCAUCAACUCGAAACUGUUACACUAUCAAAGCUAGCGGCUGAAGAACGAUCAGCUCAUCUUGAUGGCGCUUUAAAGGAGUGCAUGAAACAGAUAAGGAACGUAAAAGAAGAGAGUGAGCAAAAGCUGCACGAUGUAGUAUUUGCUAAAACCAAACAGUGGGAAAAAGUUAAGGCUGAGUUUGAAGCCAAAAUAGUUGAUUUCGAGCAGGAGCUUCUCAGGGCUUCCGCUGAAAAUGCCGCACUAUCGAGAAGUCUUCACGAACGCUCAAACUUGCUGAUGAAAAUCAGUGAAGAGAAAUCGCAAGCAGAAGCCGAGAUCGAAUUGUUGAAGAGCUCUAUUCAAUCGAGCGAACGGGAAAUAAACUCAUUUAAGUACGAGCUUCAUGUUAUCUCGAAGGAGCUGGAGAUCCGCAACGAGGAGAAGAACAUGAGUAUGAGAUCUGCUGACGUGGCAAACAAGCAGCACUUAGAGGAUGUUAAGAAGAUUUCAAAAUUGGAAGCGGAGUGUCAAAGGUUACGUGGCUUAGUACGCAAGAAGUUGCCUGGGCCUGCUGCAAUAGCACAGAUGAAGCUUGAAGUUGAGAAUCUGGGUCGAGAUUUUGGUGAAAAUAAUAGAUUGCGUCGAUCUCCUGCCAAGAGUUCGAGCCCUCAUCCUACUUCACCUCCACCUCCUGACUUUUCUUUGGAGAAUUUAAAUCAUUUCCAAAAGGAGAAUGAAUUUCUAACUGCUCGUUUACUAACAAUGGAGGAGGAAACUAAGUUACUGAAAGAGGCAUUAUCCAAACGUAAUAGCGAGUUACAGGCGUCAAGAAACAUGUGCGCUAAGACGACAAGCAAGCUCCGGAGCUUGGAAAUGCAGUUAGUGGGCCUGAACCAGCAGAAAUGCCCAUCAGGUACAAAUAUGGAUAUCCAAUUUGAUGGCCCAUUAAGCCAGAACGGGAGCAACCCGCCGAGUUUGACCUCUAUGUCUGAGGAUGGUGUGGAUGAUGAAGGAAGUUGCUCAGAAUCUUGGGCCACUGCUUUAAUAUCCGAGCUUUCACAGUUCAAGAAGGAAAAAUAUGGUGGAAAGGGCAAUAAAACUGAAAAUUCAAACCAUUUGGAACUUAUGGAUGACUUUUUAGAGAUGGAGAGACUAGCUUGUCUAUCAGCUGAUUCCAAUGACAAGAUGAAAACCGAGAAUGCUUCUACUGCUUUAAUGGUUGCCAUGAAAAGUGACGAGAAUGGUAAAGAAUCAAUUCCUCCUCUUCCUUUCGAAAGUCCAUCUUCUUCUACCAAUCCAAAACAAAUUGGUUCUCCACUUUUGAAGCUUCAAUCGAGAAUAGCUUCUACAUUUGACUCGCAAGACCUGAAGAAUGAUGUUGGCAAAGUAUUAGAGAACAUCAGAUCUAUUCUAAAGGAUAUUCAAGAUGAGCUACCCCAGAAUUCUGAAUCUUGCAUCAGCUAUGAACCUUCAAAAUGUCAUGAAGAGAUGGAAGAAGUUACAGAAAGAGAAACUCCAUCGAAAGAAGGUGGUAAUUUAGAGAAUGGCACUAAGGAUGGGAUAGAUCAAGAAUUAAGAAAUGCUAUUUCCCAAAUUCAUGAAUUUGUUACACUACUUGGUAAAGAAGCCAUGGAAAUUCAAGGUAGGCCUUCGGACUAUAAUGGACUUUGCAAAAAAAUAGAACAGUUUUCUACAUCAGUUGAGAAAGUGCUCUCUAACGAGAAAAGUUUAUAUGACAUUAUAAUUGCCCUAUCCCAAGUCUUAUCUGAGACCAGUGAGCUGAAUUUUAUCAUGUCGAGUGAUAAAGCCAAUGAAGGUGAAAACAAUAAUUUGGAUUGCGUGGACAAGGUAACAUUACUGGAAAAUAAAGUGGCUGUGCAUGAAAAACCAAUGAAAGAGAAUUAUUCGGAACUUUGUUCACUUAUGCCCCAUUCGUCUUCUGAUCCCGAAUUUGAAGGGCCCAGUGGUUCUGGCUUCGAAUUAAAGAGUACUGUACCGAAUUGUCCACCUGACGAUUAUGAGCAAUUGAAAAAUGAAAAGAAAAAUAUGGAGGUAGAAUUAGCAAAAUGUAAUGAAAUGUUGGAACAUACAAAGCUUCAGUUGGGUGAAAUGGAGCAAAAUUUGGCAGAGGUUAAUUCUCAAUUAGCUGCCAGCGAGAAAUCAAACAGCUUAGCUGACACACAACUGAAGUGCAUGGCCGAGUCGUAUAAAUCGCUUGAAUCACGAACAUCAGAAUUAGAAGCUGAACUGAACUCGUUGCUGACUAAAAUGGAAUCUCUGACCAGCGAACUUCUUGAAGAAAGGCAAAGCCAUCAGGAAGAUUUGGCCAAAUACAAAGAUCUUCAGGAGCAGAUGGAAAGGUUGGUUUUUAAGUUAUCUUCUAAAACAAACUUUCAUUGUUGAUCUAGCUUUUCAUGUGCUUGAUUUUUAUUUUCUUUCUAUUUAUCUAAUUGUUAAAUUGUUUUUUUUUUUCCAUCUCUCUUCUUGAUUCCUUAUUUACUUUUCCACUUAUUCUAGGAUCGAGAAGAAUUCGAUGUCUGUGGAUGGUGAUAUUGAUAUCAAGUCGAAACAGGUAAGAUGUUAAAAUCCGGAUAAAUCUAAUAAAAUUUGGACGUAUAGCAGCAAAAAUAAUCAUCACUAAAAUCGAGUGGAAUGAUCUUGAUUUCAUUUAUUUCCUGAGCUUCUAUACAAUCCAUUUGCCGGAAUGAUGAAUGCUUAUCCCCUGAAUGUCUUAAUUAGUUUAUCAAAGCUUGUUUUCACUCAUUUCUUUCAACUCACACAACUCUUGAUGAGGGGCUUGCUGGCAUACAUUAUGGUAGUAAACUAUUUUCCGAUUCUGAUUCCCCUACCUAUUUUGGAGGGAGAGUUGACUAGUCCUCUCGACUCUUUGCUUAAAACCGUGCAAAAUUGUGAUCAUUCUAUGUAAUAGCUAGAUGAUGUAAGACAAUGUUUUUUACAAACGUGUAGAUGGGUAAGAAAUCAUUUUGCUUGCGGAACAAAUAGUGGAUUGAUUUUGAUUAACUUGCCAAGGUUGUGAUUUAAAUUUGAUCCGAGCUUACAACUGGAUUUUACUGAGUCCGCGUGAAUUUUCGCAGACUCGAGUCUAUUUGGGUUUGUUUUAGUCAACUAUGUGAGUACUUAAGAUAUGGUCUAGGCGCCAAUGUUGUUAUUAGUAAACAUGAGUUGGAAAGGCACAUGGUUGCUUCCGGUCGAAGUAUCCUUCAUUUAUACACGUGGCUUUGCUGUCAUCAAUGUUUGCCAGUUCACAUAGUCUUGGUUCUUUAUUUCCUAACACUGCUGGCUUGCCUCUAUUCCUCGAGUUGAACUUUAGCUAGUAUUGAUUUCUUCUGGCUUUCUUUUGUCCCCUUUUGUCCUUCUUUCGCGGUCUUAUCUGCGUACUGAUAUGUUAACAUAUGUAGAUUCAACCCAAAACGAAUAAUUAGUCUUGGUUCACCCCCUAGUAAGGAUCUGUAACUUCAGAAGCCAGAGCUAUUGCAAAUUACUUGAUAUAUACAUAUGGAUUAUAAAGGAGCCCCUAAAAAUUUCUGGUAACUUUACAAACACCACGAUGACAGGAGACAGAGAUAGCAGCUGCAGCUGAGAAGCUCGCGGAGUGCCAGGAGACCAUCCUCCUCCUUGGCAGGCAGUUGCAAGCCUUGCGCCCCCCUGCAGAGCCUACGAGUUCCUCCCCAAACAACAAUAAUCGGUACCAAAUGGACGAUGAUAAUUUCGAAGAUGAACCAGGCCCCAGCAGCAUUUUCCGUCUAGCCACUCACUCCCAACAGCCGUCGGACCAAUAUGAAUUUGAAAAUGCUGCAUCUCCCAAUAUUACUCAGAGAGGAGCUGAAUCUCCCAGGAAUGGCUGCAGUGUACAAAAAAGCCCUUCUGAUACCGAAUCAAGCCCCUUCUCGAACUCGCCCAUCAGCUCGAAGCGCCAAAAGCACAGGUCAUCACGAAGCCCAUCCGCCGCUGCCGUGUCAAAUCCUCUGCCAGAGAAACAUGGGCGGGGUUUCAGCAGAUUCUUCUCAAAGGGAAAGAGCGAACAUUAGAGCAUUCUAUUUCCUUUUUUGCCCCCCACCGCAGAAAUAUCAAUGGUGGAGUAAUGGUUUCGUUGUGGUUGAUCGAAAGGGCGAUUAUUUGUUUAAACUCUCUCUUGAAAGCCUCUAGUAUGUGGUUUUCUAAGUAACCUGCUUGAGUUCCUGCAAUUACUGGUAAUAAGAACUUGCUCGUAAAAUCACUUGUAAUCAUCAAUUUGUUUUUUCCUUUUCUUUUUUGGGGUUGUGGAUUGGCUUGAGAUCUCGCGUGCUGCGCUAAACCUCACUGUAUAUGGGGAUAAAGAAGGACAUGAUUGUUUUCUCCCUCUCUUUGUUCGAUUGUUCGAAAGGAUGGAGUACUUGUAUUUUAUUCUUUUCAGCUGUUUGUUGUAGAUGCAUAAUUAAUCUGCAUCUAAAAAACUGUUCCAUUUGCUGUUCAGGGUGGGUUUCCUUCGUAUGGAAAUUCCAUCGUUUUGUGUAAAAAGAUCAUGUUCUGGCAUGGCAUAGAAGUUCUACUGAAGUUGCACAACUUGGUGCGCUAAAGUAAGCAUUUGAGCAUUUGAUCUUUGCAUCUCUUUUCGGUACAAAGGUGUUACUGGAAUAUCAGCAAAGAACUAUUUCGCAUUCUCGGCCGGGCGUAAAUAGCCAUCUAAAUUUUAAUUUUUUUUUUAUUUACUAUCUAAAUUUUUAAAAUUUUACAAUGAACCCUCUAAGUUUAUAUUCAAUUAAUUCAAAGUGAAUAACAUUAGUAAAACUAGCAACUUAUUCGUGCAAUGCACAAAAACAAAACAAAUUUUAAAUAUAUUUUUACAUUGGUGUAAUAUUUUUUUUUAAUAUUAUAGUUCAUGUAUAAUGCUUUUUUUUUGAAUGUUAAUGAAUGAAAUUAUAGUUUGUCCUCAAGUUUGUUAAAAUGAUAGAAAUGUUUUGGUGCUAGAUGUUUUUUUGUACCAUACUAAAAUUGUUUUUUAAAUCUUGAUUUAAUUAUUUAGGUUUCUAGCAUUUGUGAAGAAGAUACAUGAAAAUAAUUUAUACAAAUAUUGAGAAAAACUGAGAGCAAUAUUUGGAAUCUAAGAAUUUUAUUAAAUAUUAUAAUAGCUUAAAUUGUUGAUAUGCAGCAAUUAAUUUACAACUCGAAAUAUCUAACAUUCCUCAUAAAUAAUUUUCUUUGUGUUGCUAAUAUAUUGGCAGAUAAAACCCAGCUGAAAUGCUUUAGGAGUACUAAAAAGUUGGUGCUUCCAACUUUUUGGUCGUUGGAUCCAUUUGGAUCUAAUCUUUUGGCCGUUACAUCCAAGUGGCUCAAAAGUCAACAAUAGUGGCUCAAUGUGGGUCCCCUAUUAUGCAUUAUCCAAGCUACUAAAAAGUAGAUCUAAAGAUCAAAAAGUUGGAGUUAAUACUUUCAUAAGCAUCCUAGGUGAACAAGGAGGGGAAUAAGAAGAGUAAGAGCCUUAUUUCUUUCUUGUUAACAAUCAAAAAAGAAAAUUCUAGUUUAAAUUCUAGUUUCCCUCUUAAUGGGUUAUUCUAAGACCAUUGCUCAAGUAAGACCAUUGCUGUCCAUUUUUGAAUCACUUAAAAAACAUGCCAAAUCUAACAAGGGGUAGAUUAGAGUAACUCAAUAAGAAAUCUAUCCAUUCAGGCAAUAAUUAAACAGGCAAUAAUGCGAUGCAAACAGCUAAAUCUAAGGUGCAUGGUACCUAUAAGGAGUGUAGCCUCACCACGUAGUCCACUCUAGCACGCUAUCUAGCUAGUUCUAUCCGCAAGACAAAUACACGCACAUCUCAUGUUACACGUACAUCUCAUGUGAUUAGGAUAUGAUCUGAUGGAGUUAACAACUAGCAAAUGCACAUGUAAUCAAUCAUGUCUGUACUAGAAUGCUUAUGAACACACUCUCAAUGAGUCAUGCUAUACAUUUUACUCGAUAUGCAAUACCUUGACACCUUCAGUGCCUCAAACACGAACUGACUAACCCACUGACCAACUAAUAAACAUCACUAAGUCUGUACCACCCAUCUCUGAGCACGAGCAUGCCACUUUAAAGUGGCUUGUCAUAGCAUAUCCACACUCAUUGGUCCUACUUGAGCAAACUCUAGCGUUAUGCUCCAAGUUGGGGUUCUGCUUUUCAUCCUCAUUGAUACUAACGGAGCAAACACUAGCAUAAUAUCUGUUAUAUUAGGUUUAAAUUUGUAGUUUUCUAAAUUGGAGUUAAAUCUUAAUCUAAUUGGGAUUGGAUAUAAUUUAGAUUUAAUUUGGCAUAUAUGAAUUAUAAUUAGGAGUGUAAUUUUAAUUGAAUUAGAAUUAGAGUUUAGUUAGGAGACGUGCAUUAUAUAUACAUGCUACGGCCAAGUUAACGAUGUCGCGACCAAAAAUUAAGAAGCCAUGUAAAUUUGAUCAAGAGCAUGUUGAUAGUCCGUACGGAUGAAGCCGCGGCGACAAAAAUUAAGAAGCCUUCCUAUGCCUAUUCCAUACGGCUCAAUUAAGUGUUACAUAUUGGAGAGAGCCAAGGUCUUGAGAGGAGCCGUGAGCACUAAUUAAGGCCAAUUUGUGGUCCGUACAGAUCGGAGACAGAAGACACUUUGGAGUUGCUUUGUUGCAGCGUUUCCAAUCUAUUUAGAGUUUGGGGUCUUUUGAGAGAUCUUCUUUGUACUCCGCCUUUCGACAUUAAUAAAGUAUUUGCACCGUCUUCACUCAUGGACGUAGGCCGUUGGCCGAACUACGUAAUUAUCGGUGUGCUAUUUCCUUUUCUUUUUUCGUUUCCUGCAUUAAAUUAUUUUCUGGAUCUAAUUUUCGCCGUUCCAAUUUUAACAAACUGGUAUCAGAGACUUUCUAUUCUCUUUGUGGAUUAAGAUGAUGACGAAGUUCGAGAUUCAGAAAUUUGACAGGACCAAUAGUUUCGCAUUAUGGGAAGUCAAGAUGCGUGCUGUAUUGACGCAGCAAGGAUUGCAGAAGGCAUUGUUGGGAAAAGAAAAGACGUCCGAUUCUUUGACGGUUGAGCAGAAGGAGGCGAUUGAUGACAAAGCUCUUACGGCAAUACAAUUAUGUUAAUCCGAUGAGGUAUUGCGCGAGGUCUAGAAUGAAAAGACCGCUGUAGGGCUUUGGCUUAAAUUGGAGUCUCUCUACAUGACGAAAUCUCUCACCAACAAGUUAUAUUUGAAGCAACGUCUCUUCAUGUUGCGCAUGGCGGAAGGUACCUCUAUUAAGUUGCAUUUAGAUGAAUUUAAUUCUAUUAUUAUGGAUCUCCGCUCGAUAGAUGUCAAAAUCGAGGAGGAGGAUGAAGCCUUUUUAUUAUUAUGUUCUCUACCGCCCUUUUAUAAGAAUUUUUGUGAGACCUUCUUAUUUGGACGAGAUACUCUAUGUCUCAAUGAUGUUAAAUCCUCUUUACUUUCAAAAGAGAGAAUUGACAUGCAGAUAAGCAACGAGACAAGUGGAGUUUCAGGACAAGGUUUGGUCGCUAGAAGGAGGUAUCGGGAAAAUAGUUCCGGUAAUAGAGGUACAUCUAGAUCAAAGUCAAAGCACAAGAAUCUGAUUUGUGGUUAUUGGAAGAAAAAUGGUCACAUAAAAGCUGAUUGUUUCAAGUUGAAAAAUAAAGAGUAGCGGAAGAAUAAUGGUGAUAAAAAUUAAGGUCAGAAAAACACCAAUACUGAAGCAGAAACAAGUGUUGCGGCAGGAGAAUCAGAUAAAAAUGAUAUCGUCUUCACGGUUACGGAUAAGACACGUAGAUAGGAUGAGUGGCUUAUGGACUCUGCAUGUUCCUUCCAUAUCUGCACGCAUAGAGAAUGGUUCUCGACAUACAAGCCUAUUGAAGGUGGAAAUGUAUUAAUGGGAAAUCACUCAAAGCGUACAGUUAUUGAAAUUGGCACUUUUUGGGUACGGAUGUUCGAUGGAGUAGUGAGGACUAUAUCUGAGAUUCGGCAUGUUCCGGAUAUGAGAAAAAAUCUUAUCUCAUUGGGUACACUUGACACAAAAGGCUUUAAGUAUUCUUCAGUUGACGGAUUAAUGAAGGUUACUAAAGGGAAUCUUGUAGUGAUGAAGGCCAAGUUGUCCGACAUGUUAUAUGUUCUACAGGGUUCCACUGUGACAGGUUCAGUAUCGGUGACUUCUUCCUCUAUGUCAAAUUCGGAUAGCACCAGAUUAUGGCAUAUGUGACUGGGCCAUAUGAGUGAAUAUGGUAUGAUGUAGUUGAGUGAGAGAGGUCUACUUGGUAGUCAGAGUUUAGAAAAGUUAGAUUUCUGCGAGCAUUGUGAUUUUGGCAAACAAAAAAGAGUCAGCUUUAAGGCCGCAGUUCACCAGACAAAAGGUACUAUGGACUACAUUCAUUCUGAUUUUUGGAGACCCUCUCGUACUCCCACUCAUGGUGGUGCUACAUAUAUGUUAACUUUUAUUGACGAUUAUUCUCGUAAAGUGUGGGCGUUCUUUCUGAAAAAUAAGGAUGAGGUGUUUAAUUAUUUCAAACAGUGGAAAGUCAUAAUUGAGAAGCAAACUGAAAAGAAGAUCAAGAGAUGAAGGACCGACAAUGGUUUGGAAUUCUGUUCGUCGGAGUUUGAAGAAUUUUGCAAGAAGAAAAGGGAUCGUUCGACAUAAGACCAUUAGGCAUACUCCACAGCAGAACGGGGUGGCCGAACGGAUGAAUAGAACUCUUUUGGAGAGAGCUCGUUGUAUGCUCUCUAAUGCUGGCUUAGCGAAGAGUUUUUGGGCAGAGACGAUCUCUACGGCAUGCUAUUUGGUGAAUCGAUCUUCACAUUCAGCACUUGAUUGCAAAACUCCGAAGGAGGUAUGGUCUGGUAGCCCUUCUGAUUAUUCUAAUUUGCGAAUAUUUGGUUGUCCUGCUUAUAUUCAUGUUAAUAAAGGCAAGUUAGAAUUUAGGGCUAAAAAGUGCAUUUUUAUUGGUUAUGCAUCGGGGGUUAAGGGAUAUAGAUUGUGGUGUCCUGAAUUGUCUUACAUUUGAUAAAGCUGCUAUGUUAUAUCCUAACCGUAAUUCUUCUGAUGAGACCCUGAGUGCUAGCAAGCAGGUGGAGGUAGAGGCCGAUAUAGUUCAGUUGCAGGAUUUUUCUCAGUCAGAACAAGUUCAGUUGGCAGACACCUCAGUAACUGAAACCCCACAAAUUGAGAGGCAGAGCAUUGCUACAAGCAGAGCGAGGAGACAGAUCAAACCACCGUAGAGAUAUGGUUAUGAAAAUAUGGUUGCUUACGCUAUUUCAGUGGCACAAGAUACAAAAGAAGAAGGUGAACCUUUUACAUAUAAUCAAACUAUUUCUGGUGCCAGUUCUGCAGAGUGGUUGGUGGCGAUGAAUGAGGAGAUGGAGUCUCUCCAUAAGAAUCGCACAUGGGAGUUGGUAAAACAGCCUAUAGGUAAGAAAAUUGUUGGCUGUAAGUGGGUCUUCAAGAAAAAGGACGGAAUCCCCAGCGUGGAAGAUACAAAGUAUAAAACUCGUUUAGUUGCUAAGGGCUACAGUCAGGUAAAAGGUAUUGAUUUUAAUGAUAUUUUCUCACCCGUCGUGAAGUAUACUUCUAUUCGUGUUCUUUUAUUGUUAGUAGCCAUGAAUGACCUAUAUCUUGAGCAGCUUAAUGUUAAGACAACUUUUCUACAUAGAGAACUUGAGGAGCAAAUUUACAUGAAACAGCCGGAGGGAUUCAUUGUUGAAGGGAAGGAUGACCAUGUUUGCCUGUUAAAGAAAUCGCUUUAUGGCUUAAUGACCAUUGGUGGAUGUACAGUUAGUUGGAAAGCUUCAUUAAAACCUAUUGUCGCCUUGUCUACGACGGAGGCGGAAUAUAUUGCUAUGACAGAGGGUGUGAAGGAAGCUAUGUGGUUAAGAGGCUUAUUUAGAGAGCUUACUUCUUGUUGGAAUCUGACGAUUGUUUAUUCUGACAGUCAAAGUGCUAUUCAUUUGUCGAAAGAUCAGAUGUUUCAUGAUAGGACAAAGCACAUCGAUAUAAAGUUUCACUUUGUUCGGGAUGUGAUUGGGAAGCACACAGUGACUAUUAAAAAAAUUGGUACUGAGGACAAUCGAGCAGAUAUUCUUACUAAGUCUCUUACUAUUGCCAAGUUCAAGCAUUGUUUGGACUUGGUGGCAGUUGGCAGCACUUGAGACCCUAUGGGGCGUUUGGAGAAGAUGGAACACGGAGCGUUAAGAAGCAUUGAGGCGAAUUAAAUUCAAGCUGGAGUUUUGUGGCGACCUUGAUAUAGCGGCGGCUAAACUACAAAUUAAACCAAGGUGGAGAUUGUUAUAUUUGGUUUAGAUUUGUAGUUAUCUAAAUUUGAAUUAAAUCCUAAUCUAAUUGAGAUUGGAUAUAAUUUAGAUUUAAUUUGGCAUAUAUGGACUAUAAUUAGGAGUGUAAUUCUAAUUGAAUUAGAAUUAGAAUUUAGUUAGGAGACAUGUAUUAUAUAUACAUGCUACGGCCAAGUUAAUGAUGCCGCGACCAAAAAUUAAGAAGCCAUGCAAAUUUGAUUAAGAGCAUGUUGAUAGUCUGUACGGAUGAAGCCGCGGCGACAAAAAUUAAGAAGCCUUCCUAUGCCGAUCCGUAUGGCUCAAUUAAGUGUUGCAUAUUGGAGAGAGCCAAGCCGCCGCAAUCCAAAUUAGACCCACGCCAAUUCCGUACGGUUGGGUCUUGAGAGGAGCCGUGCGCUAAUUAGCCGUGUGCACUAAUUAAGGCCAUUUUGUGGUCCGUAUAGAUUGGAGUGAGAAAAAACUUUGGAGUUGCUUUGUUGCGGCGUUUCCGAUCUAUUUAGAGUUCCGGGUCUUUUGAGAGAUCUUCUUUGUACUCCGCCUUUCGACAUUUUUUUUUUUUGAGAGAUAGGUAGCACGCUACCCGCUUCGUUUAUUUCAUUUAGAAAUAAACUUAGCUAGAAAUGUGAAUCAACUAGGAUUCUUUGUACUCCGCCUUUCGACAUUAAUAAAGUAUUUGCUCCGUCUUCGCCCGUGGACGUAGGCCGUCGGCCGAACCAGGUAAUUAUCGGUGUGCUCUUUUCUUUUCGUUUUUCGUUUCCUACAUUAAAUUAUUUUCUUGAUCUAUUUUUCGUCGUUCCAAUUUUAACAAUAUCCCUACACUAUGUACUUUAGUCCCUCGGCACCUUGCCUAUAUCCUAGUAAUCCGUCAAAUGUAUAGAUGUUAGGAUCAGAUCUAACCUUGUCAUACUAAGCAACAUAAGGUCAUGUCUCAGCCUACGUACUAAACUCAACACAUACCGGCUCGUGCACAUUCUAGCCUGUCUCCACUCUAGAGAUUAGACCUCUACCAAACAACCAUCUCUGUUCCCCUAGCUCACAUAUUCUCAUAUACGUAUAUAAAUAUCUAUCACGAGUCCUCGACUUGACUACCAAAUCCUCGGGUCAUGGAUUGACACAUGUUAUCCUUAGGUCUCCGCUUGGUACUCAUAUAAUUCUCGGGUCUCUACCGGCACAGAUUAUCUACACAUAUCUAUCUAUAUCCACUAUCCAGGGGAUUACACUCUGCUGUUUACCAUAAUAGUCAUAUCAACUUAUUAGCAUACCCGAUCGGAGUGGCUUACACAAUGCCAAUCAUAAUGCCAUGAAUACCAACUUAGCACAUACAUCAUGUUUGUACCCAACAUAAUGUUCUAUCCUAAUCCAACUUAUGCUACUCAGGAAAUGACCCGCACAACACAUAUUACUCAAGAUUAUCGUCAUGCAAUAUAUGGUUCCACACGGAUGAUUGCAUAUGAACGACACAUUAUAUUUGAAUGCAACAAGUUUUGCAUAAUAAUCAUAAUCCUAAAAGGAUAGAUAAUACAGUCAAGAAGUAGGAAAAUUAUUAACUCAAUACGAUAAUAUCCUAUUCAUAGCUUGACGGUGCAUAGAGGUGUCAGUAGAAGUCAAGGAAGAAGCUCUCUAGAUUCUCUGGUUGGCUCUCGAUCGACCUAAGGUCUAACUAUUAGAAAAUUACGUCCGGUAAAAACGCAGCGAAAAAAGAAAAUCAAACUUUUUUUGAUUUUUGAAACUCUUAAAAUGCAAUCUCAAAAGUUACGCAAUUAGGAACCCUCAUGUUCUUUAAGAUUAAAGAAGGACUAAAUUACAUACCCCCCUGUCAAUACCUGCUUUCAUUUUCCCCCAUUUUAUUUAAAAACCUACACUUUGCCCUCUUGUAAAAUAAAAAAUACUCACAGGGGGGUACGAUGUGAAUGUGAUGACAAAAUGAUCAAUUUGCCCCUCACCAUUUUCAUCUCCUUUCUUGUUUUGCUCAUCCUCCGCCUCAUCUCUUCCAUUUUUCGCACUUCGAUCGGCCACAAUUCGUUCCCAUUUUCUUCUCCACCUGUUCCUCUUCUCCUCCUGCACUCUCGUCGCCCCUCCAUUUCGGCCAUAGUAGGGAGGAAAUCGAGGUGGGCGUCGAUAGAGAGGUGGGCAAGGGCGGGGGCUAGGGCGAAAGUGAGGUAGAGAAGGGUAAAGGGUGUUUGUGGGUGCGGAUGGAGAUCUGGGCGAGGGUGAGGUAGUGGAGGAGGGCAAGGUGGCGAGGCGAAGGAGGGCGAGGAGGCAGGAGAGGAGGCUAAGGGUAUUUUUGAUAUUAAAAAAAAAUAUAAUAAUAUUUUAUAAACGAAACCCUAAUGGAGCACUAACGGUAGGGGGUGAAGUGAAUAUUUUUUAUUUUACAAGGGGCAAAGUGUAGGUUUUUAAAUGACAGAUGGGGAAAGUGAAAAAGCUGGUAUUAACAGAGGAAUUUUAGCCUUAAGGAGAAAAGGAAGAUCCAAUCUUCAUCCUUGCGCGGGUAGAUCUUUACUGCAAUUUGAUGAUUAUGGAAUUAGGUUCUCUUGAAAUCGCACACAUGUCCGACCUCUAUAGGUAUCCACACGAGAUUGGUGAUUUGAUCGAUAUCCUCACCGGAGUGCUAGCUCCUUUGCAGAGGACGUCUUUUUGCUGGAAGAUCAAAGAGAAGUAAGAGAUAGAAAGAGAGAUGAUGGCUAGGAUUUUCUAAAAACUCCCGUGUAUUAUAAAAAGAAAUAUAAUUCUCUUUUUAAUAUUAUAAUAACCAUUAUGGAUAAGAUUAAAUCUAUGUUUGAAUUUAUCCUCUCCUUAAUUGGUUAGAUCGAUCAAAUCCUAAUUUGAUUCGACUUGAACUUUAUCCUAAUUUGAUCAUAUCAAAUUAAUAAUGCAAUAUUUGCACAUAAGUCCUCUCAUAAUUGACUAACCGUUAGUAAGUUCUCUCUUGUAACAUUUAUACUUUAAUAACACUAAUUUGUAAUAAUUAUAAUUAGUUCAAUUAUCAACAUAUUGAUAAUUAGGUCCUUUGACGAUUCAAAAAUCACAAUCUAGCUAUCCGAUCAGUCACAACCUCUUAUGUGUGUGACCCCAUAGGUUCUAUUCUAUAUAAUAGUAAGAUAUAUUUUGAUCACUAUCAACAAUAUCACUAAAACUCCUUUCAGUGGAUUGGAACAAUUCCAACUCAGCCCAAUGAGAACUAUUGAUCAUCCAGAUAAUUCUCAUGAGUCUUACAAUCCACUAGUGACGCCUAGCAGCAUGUAGUGACAUUCUAGUAGAAUAAAAUACUAAACCUCUUGUUGCAGUUACCAUGAGAUACAAUCCUUCUAUCAAGAGUCUCGACUAGACGGAGGUCAUGAAAUAACUCGUUAAACUUCAUCGUCUGUCAUAUAUUAAAUUUAUUUCACUUGAAUUUCUAAUAUCGAAAACCCUUUCCGCUAUUUAUUCUGCCUUAGCCAAGAUCUUUUAAACUCGGUCUCAUAAACUACAUAGGACUAACGCUCUUAUCUACCAAGGAAAAUAAAUUUUGUAUAGGUGCACACCCUUUUCCUAUAAUGAACCUACUGCAGCCAACAUGCACCGUCAAGGACCCGAAUGGCUAGGGACUAAGUGUAUAUACAGUCAAACUACAGUAACCUCAUUGUGAAUAGCCAAUGCACCGCAGGUCAAAGGACCAGUCACACUACUGCAAUAUUGAGUAAGUUAAUGAUUAGUGAAUAAACAUCCAAGUGACUUCUCGCGUUGGUCACGCUCGGUACCAUUGCUCUCUAACAACCACCUGCAUAUUCGCUCCAGUAUCAUCACACUAUUGACUUGAGACUCGUCUACCCAAAAAGGGAAGCGACUUAUAUACUAAUCUUAUCGGAUCAAUCAUCGUCCCCGUGAUGAUUCAUCGAUCCGGAGCAUUUAGGAAUUAACCACCAAUGACGCAUGUCUCAAAUUUUCAACUUUUGAGAAUACAUGUUAUCAUCUUAUUAAUUCCUUGGACGAUUCAUGGACACAAACACAACAUUAAUGAAAAUAAGAAUCCAAAUUUAUUCAUAAUAUCUUAAGGUCAAAUACAAAUUUAUGUACUAAAAAAAAUACAUGUGUCGGCCUGGUUGGCUUCUCGGGCACACAUCUAACACCAACUAAGUCAACCACAUCUAUAGAGUUGAUUGCUCUAGAAUCCGUUGACCAUUGGGUCCUAAAGCUAGUCUUCUAUCAAUUACCUAUAACGGUUGAUUGCAACGGUAUGAUCGAUCAACCUUGUGAUGCCCAAACAUCAAAAACACAUGGAAAGCAUAGCACGAAAGGCAUCUUACCUGAGUUUUUUGACCUUUGAACACGAGGAACGAGUCGCUCAGAGUGAAAACUUCCAUUCUGCAUGUGUCGGGUGGAGUAAUUUACACCCACUACUCAACAAGUAGUGAGAGGAGUGCGAUUUGGCUUCAACUUGGAGCAUAAGAUAGGCUAGAAGAAGAAAAGAUGAGAGAGGGAGAGAGUGAAGUGGUGAAAAAGAAAGAAAAAGAAAAUAAGGGAGGGAGAGUGAAAGAUUAGAGAGUAAGGGAGGGAGGAUAUAUAAGAAAAUAGGAGAUAGUAGAGAAGGAGAAUGAUAUAGGAGAAAGCAAGAUGAGGAAGAGAGUGGAGUGAGUGAGGUAGAGUACGGUAUCCCUACGAUUUGGAAUAGUCAUACAUAUAAGGUAUAAUAGGACUAAAAUCUUUUAAUCUGGCUAUAUCAUUUUGCGCAGUGGUUAGGCUCAAGAGGUUAAGAGGGUUAAGCGUACUAGGGCUAGAGUACUUUUAGGAUAGGUGACCCUCCUGAAAGCGAGGCAUCACAGUUGGUAUUAGAGCUAAUUACCAGCCGAAAGUGUGAGAUGAGUUUUGGUUGAGCUAAGAUCACAUAGUGCGCAGAGCGUGGCUCCCUGGUUGAUGACCAAUGUGUGUGGAACAUAGUUCUCUACAAUGUCGGAAAAGGCUAGUGAGACAAGUCUUCGAUUGGCUAGUGCUUGUGAGUGUGCUUGAGUCUGAAGAGGAUAUCAUGGCUUAAGACGGGAGGAAUGUAGCACCCCUAUCCCUAGGAUUUGGAAUAAUCUUAUAUAUAAUAUAAGGUAUUAUAGGAUUAAAACCUCUUAACCCGGCUAUAAUAUUUUGAGAAGUGGAGGUUAAGAGGUUUGAGCGUGCUAGUGCUAUAGUAGUUCUAGGAUAGGUGAUCUCUCGGAGAGCGGGGCGUCACAGUUAGGUGGAAGCAACUGAAUCAGUAGACUCGCUUGACCAGACUACAGUACGGUUGAUUUCCAGGCCGAUCCAUAUUGAGUUCAAAUCUAUUGUUGGCGCCGACGAAACUCAGACAGUGGCUCGAUCAACCCGGUUCAUCAAAUUCAAAACAAGUGUAACACAAGAAGAAAAAAAAAUUAAAUUCAAGGAGUAUAACACUACAACAAAAACGAUCUAUAGCGACACUUUUAGAUGUCGGUACAGGUCAAAAAAAGUGCUGCUGGCUAAAUUACCGACACUUUUAACAAGUGUUGCUAUAUGUGGGGUCGAUAGAUAUAUAGUGACAGUUAAAGAGUGUUGCUAUAAUCUAAAAAAGUGCUGCUAAUUUACCAAUAUUUAUUUAAGCAUUUAGCAGCCGCCGGAAUCUACCUCGUUGGCUGCGGUGGCGGAGAAGGACGAGAGGAAGGGAUCUUCGUCUAGGAUUUUAGUCAAUUGAGUGAGAGAAGAAAGGGAAAUGGUAAUCGAUUUUUUUUUCUUUUUCUUUUCUGUUUGUAAUCGGGUCGAAUGGCAUAGAUGGGGUGGAUAGUAAAGUAACCUUUUAUUUUUGGUUGGAUUGGACUUUAUAUUUAGGCAUUAGUAGAUUUUUUAAAGUUUUGGUAUAAAUUGGACACUUACACAAAAGUAUCCCAAACAUGUGCUCCUAUAACCUAAUUCUGUUGUAGUGUGUAAUUAUGUCCAAAUUUUGCCACUAGAACACUUCUAUUCCCUGAUCAUUAUUAUAGUUUUUAUUUUUAUUUUUGGAAGAAAAUUUCACAUGAAGUAAAAUUGCCGAACAGAACCUGCAGACCAAAUUCUAAUUCGUAUUAGGUCACUUAGGCGUCAAAUUGAAAUUAAUUUUAUGAGAAAUAUUUUUACCAGUUAAAGGCAUAAAUUUUUCAUAAAGUUUAGAGGUUACUUGGUCUUAAAUAAUUAAUCAUUUUUUAGUUGCUCUUAUCAGCUAGACAAAGGGUCCAGCACCAAAUUGUUACCAAACUUGGCACAUUGUCCUAGAUGCUAUAACUAGCUCUCCUCAUCAUAAUUACAAAAAAAUAUUUUUGUUAUACUUUGUUUUUCAAAAAAUUAAUGUUAUUGACUUGUUAUUGAUAAUGUGGUGCAAGUAUGACACAGUAAACUUCCUCCUGUCUCUUGAUGAUAGAAUUUUCUGAGAACAUUUCAUGUACAAACAAACUUAUCAUAUCAAAAUUUAACUAAUACUGAAAUAAAUGGAUGCCUCUUGGUCAAUAAUUGUCCACUUUAGAACUCGGUAUUACUGAACAGGCACUUACAUAAUUCCACAUAAUAAGUAGAAACUUCUUCAUCAAUUACUCCAACAACAUUCCACUGCCAAUUUUUUGUUCAUCAAACAAGACAUUGCAACCCCUUCGUUUUGGAGUUGAAUUUUUUUUCCAGAAUGCUGGUCCAUUUAAGCCAACAAUGCCCUCUCCAGUGCACAAAUUCGCAACAUGGGAAAUCGAAGCCCUGACCUCUGGCUCUAAUAUCAUUUGUCGGAUCGUCGGCGCUAACCAUUAAUCUCUAACCAUUAAUUCCAAAAGCUCAAGCUGCUAGAAAUAUACAACAAAUUCACUUAAAGCUUACAAACACAGCACACACGGGUCUCGAUUGUGACUCGGCCUAACCCGUCUCAUGCCACUUCAAACACGAUACGGCCCAAUUCAGCCUCACGCCAUUUUGAAUGUGACUGGGCCCAACCUAACCUUUCGCUACAGGGCAGAAUGCUGACUCAUUAAAGCCAAUAGGGUAGAAGUUUUUUUAUUUAUUUGUGUGAUAUUCCUUAUAAAUUUCCUCGUGUAAAAUUGAAAUUUCAAAUUUCAAAUAUUUGAUUCAUUUGGGGUUGUAUUUAGUCAAAUCAUAAAAAGUUAAUUUAUUUGAUAAAAUUCUCACUUUACUAAUUAGUAAAAAAAUCGAAACCGAAGCAGCCAUCCAAGUUUAGAAUAAUAGGUUAAAAAUGAAUCCCACAAAAUUGGUUAGAAUAUUUAACAAAGAGAAUUUUUUAUGUACUUUCUAAUUUAACAUAUGAGUCAUGUAAUUAAGUUUUGGUGAACCAACUAGAGAAACGCAUGUGAAUCCGAAAGUGUUAAAUCUUGCUAUUAAUCCUGAAUUUUCUAUUCUUAGGUACAAUUCACAUCUUGCAUACUGCUAUAUAUUAAUUGGUUAUCUUCGAUCCUCUAGUUCUUUUGUUACAUAUCCUUGUUGUUGUCAAUCUACGUUGUUAAUUUCUAAAAUUUAUGAAUGCAUGCUAGUGGUGGACGGAUACGUAUUUGACUUUUGUUGAUGAGGGUAUAGUACUUAGCAACGCCCUAUAUAUUGUAUGCAUAUAUAGUAUGUGGUGCCCUAAUAUUGUAUGCAAAUUUAAGUUGAGCUAAACAUCUAGUUAGUUAUUUCAGCAAUCAUCUAUCUAUUAAUUACAUGUAAUGACUAAUGAGAGCACAUUUGGGGAGUCAAACGCGCGCGGAGGCUCCAUAAUCCAUAUUCACCUGAGGCAAACGCGGAAUUAAUAGGGUGGGGUGCAUGGUUCCACCUUUUCUUUUUCCAACCUAGUUCUCCUCUCUCUCUCUCUCUCUCUCAUUGUUUAAUAUACAAUCUAUUUUUAAGUAGUCAUUAUUAUUAAAUUAAAAUUUAAUUUAAUACAUGAAAUCUAAACCAUAUAAAAAGAUAUUGUGUGAAAAAAUUACAAAUUUUAAAUUUUUAUAAUAAGAUUUUAGAAAUGUAGUGUAUUGAAUUUACUUUUAUAUCCGGUUUAAAGAAUUUUUUUUUCCACCACUUUAUUUUUCCUUCUCAGCUAUAAUAAAUUAAUGCCAGCAUCCUAUUUAUUGGUGCAUCGUAUAUAUUAAACUCAUGUCUCGAAGAUUGAUACUAGAAAGUUAGAAUCAACUCUCAUAAAUGUAAUCUACGCUAUAUAAAAAGUUUAUAUAUAAAACUUAUGCAGUCGUAUGAAAAAUAGCAGUAGUGGAUAGAAAGUAAAUUGAGACAGUCAAUAUUAUUUUUGUUCUAUUAGCAUACUCAUUCUUCUUUUUCUACCAUCGUUAUUGUUUUUGUUUUUUUUUUCUUCUUCUUCUUCCUUUUAUUGACAUUAUUAUUGUUGUUUCUUUUUUUUUUUAGUUUAUUUUUUUUAUAAUAAAUAUAAUAUAUUAUUUUUAUAAUUUUAUUUUUAUUUUUCUUUUAUCCUUCUUCUGCUUUACUGCUUGCUGCAUUUUCUACUUCAACUUUUUUUAUUCUUUAGCUUUUUUUUUUUUUUAUUUAUUUUAUUUAUUUAUUUUUACGGAAUUGAUGGGUCAACUGGUAACUAAUUUUAUGUCAUUAUUUCUUGGAAUCUAUUCCUAUUCUUGUUUGUAGAGAUACGAUAGCAUCUAGCUAGCUAGGUGCAGAGCUAGACAUCUUGUUGUGCAAUAUUUCAAAAAGCACGGCCGCAUAUGCGGUGCAGUGCCUGGUUGGGUUUUCUCUCUCUCUCUCUCUCUCUCUCUCUCGAUCUCUCCAGAAGAAAAAGAAGCAGCAGCAGCAGCAGCAGCGUGCGGCGCGCGGCGAGCUGCAGGGAGCAAAGCGCGAGCGGCGAGCGCUGGCUGAGAACGAGCCACCUGCCCGGCCUCCCUUUCUGUCUGCGCUGACUGAGGCCGAGCCGCCGCCUACCCGGUCCCGUUCUCUCUGUCUGUGAGCUCUCUCUCUCUCUCUCUCUCUCUCUCUCUCUCUCUCUCUCUCUCUCUCUCUCUCCAUCGUAUAAUUUGUUCUAGUUUGUUAAAAGCUUGAUAAUUUUUUAUAUUUCAUUACUUAGUUAGCUAUUAACUGAAUCAAAAUUCGUCUGCCAACAGGUGAUUGAAACUAUUAAAUACAAAGAAUUAGCUAUGGAUCUUAUAUUCUUAUGAAUUUUGAAUUUUUUAAAAUACCCAAUUUAAUUAACCGAGUAAAAUCGUUCAAUUUAAAUUGAUACUUAGCUUGUGGGGAUUUACCGCCUUUUGGAAUAUGGGUCUUGUGUUAGAUAAGUUGAAUAUCUUCUUAUUAGAGACUAAACUUUCACUUCGAGACCUAGUAAGAGUAUUUUGUGCUAGCUUGUGAUGACGUAUCAAAAUAAUAUUUUCUUUCUUCUUACUUUAGGUUCCGGUGAUUAAAUUGAUACUUAGCUUUUGAUUGAAACAUUAAAUUGAUACUUAGCUUUUGAUUGAAACGAUAAGUUAGAUCAAUUAUUACUUUUUGGAGGUAAGCGAUUGGACACUCUUUAGUUUAUUUUUAGUAAAAAUAUGGAAAUACUUUACGGCAGCAAAAUAAUUACUUUCUAUAUAUAUAUAUAUAGUUUUCUGAAAAGUACGGAUUAAGCCUACUUAUACAGAUUAGGAAUCAAUAGAAGAAAAGGCUUUUCUCAAGGUUUUGCUCUCAGUGUUGUAUAACUUUAGUUUUCUGCUUUAAUCGUGUUGGCUAUGUCGACAAAAUUAGAAGCUAGUUUAAUUUGAUUGUGUAAUGCACCUCCGGGUGCUACUUUGAUGCGCCCUCGAGUGCUAUUUUGAUGCGCCCCCAGCUGGUUCUAUUUUGAUACAACUAUGGUAGACUUCACUUUUUGAUCGCGUCUUAGGGUGUGUCUGAUAUGCGCUUUGGACCUGUAACAACGAGUUGCUUAUGUAUAUAGUUAGUUGCCAGAGACUUUUCUUUUGAAAUUUUAAUUUCUUUCUUGGAAUAAAACUGCUUUUGUCAAAAAUUUUAUUUUUCUUAGUUCAAUUUGUAAAAUAUGUUUGUUUACAAUUCAAAAUCCUGCAAAUAAGAUUUGUGGUAUUUUUGUGAAACCCAGUCAUUAUUGUUAUAAUCCGACUAAUUUAGUGAAUGCUUCCAUAUCCACAUCUGAGUCCGCUCAGCUUGUGGGGAUAGGAUUGAGUUAUCGCUAGAUGCAGAGACCUUUAUUUAACUUUAGUGCUUUAAUAAAUUUAGUUAGUGGUUUUAAAAUUUAAUGUUUUUAAGAUAGUGGAUAUUUGUUUUGUUUAGAAUUGUUUUAACUUUUCGUGAGUUUGAAUAAUUGAGUAUUUGUGGAUGUGAAAAGUGAUUAAGUGGAAAAGAGUAGAAAAUUCAAAUUGGAGUGAUAGACAUUGGUCUAACUUCUCUGAAAUUUGAUAGUAUGUACAAGAUUUAAUAUACAUCAUAUAUGAAUCAAUCAAGAAAGGAAAAAAAUAAUACAAAAUAUUAUUGCCUUCCAUGUGCAUGCAGUCAUUAAAUCCAAUAUUGCCUUCUAUAUGCUAUCAUUAAAUCCAUUAAAUAAACCAGCUGAAUUGGCAAGAUAAUCUUGGUCCAAAAUUGUUAGGCAAAUCUCCAUCAAAUCUCUAUCAAAUAUUCAUAAAAUAUUAGAAACUUUAUUUUCUAAUACUCCCCCUCAAGCUGGCAUGUGAAGAGACGUAACACCCAGCUUGUGGACCAAAUCUUGAAAUCUUUCUCUACCAAGUGCCUUUGUAAAAAUAUCCACUAACUGAUUAGUUGUUGAUAUAUGUGCCGUAGUAAUCAGCCCCGAAUAUAUUUUCUCUCGUAUGAGAUGACAAUCUAGCUCGAUGUGCUUUGUCCGUUCAUAAAAUACUGGAUUUGAAGCAAUAUGAAGCGCAACUUGAUUAUCACAAUAAAGCAACAUUGGUUGACGAUGAAAAACACCAAGAUCAUUAAGUAAAUAAUUAAGCCACGUUAACUCACAAGUUGUAGUAGCCAUCGAGCGAUAUUUGGCCUUCGUUGAUGAGCGAGAGACAACACUUUGUUUUUUGGUGCGCCAUGAAAUAGGACUUGUUCCAAGGAAAGUGAUGUAGCCAGUAGUUGAUCACCGAGUCAUAGGACAACUUGCCCAAUCUGGGUCACAAUAUGCUUUUAAUAAUAAUGGUGUAGAGCUAGAAAAGAGUAUUCCAUGUCCAAGUGAGCUCUUCAAAUAGCGAAGAACUUGAUAUGCUGCUGCCAUGUGUGUACUCCGAGGCUUUUGCAUAAAUUGGCUAAGCAUAUCGACUGAAUAGGUUAUGUCAGGUGUCACGCCCCGGGGUCCCUUUUAGUUUAAAAACAUAGCGGAAAAGCGUCUGAAUUUUUUUUUUUUUUUUUUUUUUCGAAAACCUAAACCCAGAGUAUGCCAGACUCGCCAAAAAUACAGGGAUUCUACUGUUCAUACGGACAGAGUCUCCCCUGUAUUUGCACGGCGUCACACGAGUACAAGAAGUAACCCAGGUAUAACCACAACCAAAUGAACAUACAAAUAACUAACAAUUAUAUAUUCAUACACCAUUCACAUCACAGGUUCACAUUUAUAUAUUCGAUAUUUAAACAUAAAUCCACAUCUAUCAGUUAAAAUGUUUCCAACCACAGAAACAGGUUUUGAAAUACUAAGAUGCAAAAUCCACAGAAAACCUUUUGAAAACUGUUUCCUACACGGAAACCUUUAUUCUUUAAAAACGCUACCACGAGGGGUAGAAAACCUUUUAUUUGACAAAAUCCAGAAAUUCAUUUAUUACAUUCACGAAAAUCCAUAUUUUUAACUGUAAUAAAAAUACUGAACCAUAUAACUAUCUUAAGCUAUCACAACUGAAACAAUAAGGGUAAUAACUAUACCGAAAUAACCUGGGUCGGAAGCUCUAUCGACCGCUACACACGUACCUCACGUCUCGUCCCACUAUCAUCGCCCCGCGAUACCUGAAAAAUGGUGGGGAGGUGAGAACAUGUAAACAUGUCUCCCCUCCAGUGGGUCCGCAAGCCGAAAAGCGGAGGAGUACUCACCGGAUCAGAAGAGAGCUAUACAACAACACGGAGAAACUAGAUAGACAUAAGUGCUGGUAAGUAAAGAUGCUGAUAAGUAAGGAGCUGACAAGUAUAGAUGCAGGUAAAUAAAACAGUAGCUACAAUAAACAGAUAAGAUGUACUGAAAAUAAACCUUACAACUACUGUAUGCAUGCGUCAACUGACGAAAAGCUCAAAAGUACCCAAUCUCGCUGCCCUAUUGUCCGAAGACCUCAGGCUCAUGCCACACUGCUCAACCUGUACCUGACCUCGCAAUGAAGCCCCUGGGUCAGAAGCACAGGGUACCUGACCCUCGCAAUGAAGCCCCUGGGUCAGAAGCAUAUACCCUCGCAAUAAAGCCCCUGGGCUCACGGGUUGGCAAUCCAACCACUUUUCCGGAAAAGAACACCCUCUUGCGGUGGAUCAGACCGCUGGUGUUCGUGAAAUGCGUACCUGCAGUGGCGAUCAAUGUAGUAUGCUCAAAGAUCAUCCAUCGGCAACUAGCCGACAAUCCAGCCCCUCAGGGCACACCGACCGUAUAGGCCAUCAGCAACUAAUCGGCUACGUAUGUCAAGAUAGAACUGUAGCAACUCGACCGAUCAUGUCACAAGUAUAGGAUAUGAACUCGACCAAUCAUGUCACAAGUAUAGGAUAUGAACUAGGCCAAUCAUGUCACAAGUAUAGAUAUGAACAACCGUCGGCCACUAGCCGACAAUCCGACCCCUCAGGGUACACCGACCUCAACAGUCAUCGGACAACAGAAGUCAAAGGACCGACCAACCAGGUCACUAAUACGAGGUACAAGAAACUACCAACCAGGUCGCAAGUGUAGGAGAUGCAACGUCGACCAACCAGGUCAUGGAGAUCACAUAGAAGAUCAGACCAACCAAAUCAUAAAUAUCAUAUACAGAUAAAGUCUACUCUACUCCUACACAUGAUACUACACCUGGCAACAACUAAGUAGAGUAAUAAGGAAACAGCAUGGGUGCAGGGCUCAACAUAUAUAUGGUAAAAGAUAUAAACAACAAGGGUAAAGGAAACGUCACCGAGCGUGCACCACUGUACCAACGUCGGAUCGAAGUACCCACCUAUACAAGUCUGGAUCAGAUCUCACGACGGCGGGGACAGAGCAACCGGACCUACGAAGGGUCCACUAGGUCAGAAGGAAACCCAAAUGUCAGCAACUAAAAUAAAAUCCCCAAACAAGGAACCACGGGAAUUGGUUUCCCAAGACCGAUUGCCGAAUCACAUCGGGUGUCCCGAAAACCGCACCGAGACUCUGUCGGGUCCACAGAAUUGUCUCGAAACGCACCGAUUCAUACUACGAGUCACCUGCUGCCCCAAAACAUUCCAAUUUGGAUGUUUUGGUAGCAAACACAAGAUAAUACCACUACACAAAUAUCGUCGGAUAAUUGUACGAAUCCGGGUUCCCGAAAGUGUCUAUUUCGACACCGGAACCCACCGUCGCUCACCCGUCAUCACCGAACCCACAAUGUGAUGAUGGUGACCAGUCAACAAGGCUAAGAGACUACUCACAGAGCAACCAAAUGACGUCGGAAGCAAUCCGAACCGAAACCGCGUUCUUUCAGCGAAUUUCGCCGAAAAACGCAUCGAAAUCGACUCUUCGAUUUCCGCAAAAGCUAACAGAUCAUGGACAAUCAGUCCAGAGGUCACCACACACGCCUAUACAUUGUCCACAGUAGCCACAAAAUGCACAAUUGCACAAAAGCCCCUCACUUUACAUAAAAUCCCAAUAUUUUAUGUAAAUCGGGCGAUAACAUGGCUCGUUCACGCAAACUGAGGACUUCCAAGGUCCGCCGAGACACGUACUGACAGGUCUCGACGUACUGGAGGCCGUGCUCAUGAUCUGGAGCACAAUGGCUCACUGUGGAAAGCGCGGGAGCAACCCGAAGGUUCAGCGAACAGCGCGCAGUCGGGGAAGAUUGCGCCAAACAGGGCUAACCGGACACUGUUGAUCCAAAGUGAGGCAGGCACUGUGAUCAGCACUGACCCACGAUCACCGUGCUCACCUCCGGAGGCAUCAGGACAGCCUCAGAUCGCCGGAUAAGCGUGCGCAAACCCAAAAACAGCAGCCAAACAGGCUCUAUAGGGUCGACACCGCCGAAACAGCGGAACGGAGUCUCCCCGACAGAAUCUAAGGUGAGCACGAUGAUCAGCAAUUUGCUACGAUCAUCGUGCUCCCUUCCGCAGAGACCGGGGAGGCUCGGGAAGCUCAGAACACAAAACAUCUAAAAUAAGCCCUAUUUCGGGCUUGGCCGGAGCAAGGUUGCUCCGGCCGGCUUCCGGCGGCACGGCGGCGCGCGCGGAGGCCAGGGAUGGGUGCGGGGGAGGUGAGGAGUGAGGUGCUCACCUCAGUUGGCGGCGAGGAGCGGCGGCGGCGACGACAGAACCAACCCAGCCCGCACGAGCUAAAGCUCGGUUUCCCAGGGUAGCUGCGGCCAAGGCGGCGGCCGGGGCGCUCGGGGACGGCAGCGGAAGGUUUCCUGAGGCCGGAGGGAGGCGGCACGGAUGGUUCCGGGCGGUGGCAGCGCGAGGAAGAAGCCGCGAGCUCACCUCGGCCCGCACAAGUCUGGGGCGGCCGCGGCUGGCCGAGGCGGCGACGGCGGCUCGCUGGGGUGGCGGCGACCGGCGAGGAGGGUCGCCGAGGGUGCGGGGACAGCAGCGGAAGCGGGCUCAGGCGGCGGCGGCCCGCGGGGAGGCCGUACGCAGGCCUAGGUCUGGGCUCGACCUAGGGAGCAGCAGGCGGCCAGCUCAGGUGCGGCGGCGCUCGGCGACGGCGGCGGUCGACGGGGACGCUUCGAUGAGGUCGGGGCGACGCCGGCAUGGUGCAGGGAGGCCGCUGCAGCCUCGGCCUGGGCUCUAACCCGAGAAGAAAAGAGAGAGAUGGAGAGAGAGAUGGAGAGAGAGGAAGAAAGGUGGCUGCGGCGGUGGCUGGCCGGCCGGGGUUCAGUAGGCGGCGGCCUGGGCGCAUGGCUAGGGCAGGGGAGCGAGGUGAGGGUGGCUGGGGGUUGCGGCAAGGCUAGGGUUAGGGUUUCCAAUGAGCAAACCCUAGAACAAGCUUAUAUACAUGGUGCAACUUUGCAAUUAAGUCCACCAAACCUCAGUAUUUAAUACUGAGUCCAUCACAGCGUAUGUAAAACGCGCGAACACCCCUCCAUGUGCGAUCCCACGCGAAACGGUACAUAAAAUAUUGCAACUUUUGCGAAAUUACCGUUUUGCCAUCACAGACCUCUCCUCGAUCAACGCGCAAUCUCCGCAGAUCCGUCCGUCAGAUUUGCGAACGGAUUGCACCAGUGCGAUCAGCACCUCGUAGACAACAGAUCUAUGAUUUUGGUUCACCUCGAACGGUCACGGAUUCGCGACGAAAUCCAUUCUCUCUCCAUAAGGCCAAAAUGACGCACAAUUACAUAUAAAACGCGUAUUUUUGGAUUUUCUCAAAAGCCGUGCAUCAAACUCAAAAUCCGUCAGCGCCAGUAGUCCAGAAUAGCUGAAUCCUUCGAAAUGAGCUAUUGGACUGCUAUGAACGGGGUCCGAUACGCACCAGAAGCCAACUCUACUCCAUGGCCUCUCCGGAAAAUCGGAGUUACUAUUCACUUAAGUGAAAACUAAUAAUCGUGUAUCUUCUCCGUUUUAGCUCAUUUUCUCCUGAAACUUGACGAGUGCUUAUGUAAUUAAAUUACACACAUAAACAUCGUCAACAGAGAGUUUAGUAGCACUGAAAAAAAUCUCAGUCCUUACAUCAGGCCUUGUUAUUGUGAGAUAAAUUAAGCGGCCAACGAGUCGCCUAUACACGCUAGGAUCAUCCAAAAGAUCUCUAUCAUCAAGUGUUAAAUGAAAAUUCUGCUCCAUCAGAAAAGAACAACCCUUGGCACCAAUCAUGCUUGUUUCAACAAGUAAAUCUAAAAUAUAUUUUCGUUGGCUUAGAAGAAUGCCAUCGGAAGAGCGAGCCACUUCAAUUCCUAAAAAAUAUUUUAGGCACCCCAAAUUUUUGAUAUGAAAAAGCUAUUAUGGCGGUGGGCCUCCAACAAAUACGUUCUAUAUUGUAACACACUGAACUUUAGCAAAUUACAAGGUUCGAGUGUUUGAUCUGUGUUCCGAGUUUUUUCAAGUAUUCUGGAGGGUCGUUGACAGUGUUCCGACCUAUGGCUCGCAUCCCGAGAAUCAAGGUUUAAAACGUAGCAUUAAAAUCUCUAAAGUGAAGAUUUUAGGUUGCUCUCGGGUUGGACUCUGCAGAACAGGGUAUCGGUACAGCAUUGGGCCCGUACCGGAACCAGACCUGGUACCGAUACAACAUCGGACUUGUACCGGUACCCAGUGUAUUUUUCUGCGAACCCGAGGCUCGGGUUUGCGCAGACUGCUGCUUGGUACCGGUACUCUUUUCCGUGUAUCGGUACGCAGUGCAGUGCAGACUGCACGUUGUUGGAGGGUAUUUUUGCAAAUGUUGAAACUCUAUAUAAUCCCUCCACAGCCCCUUGAGGACUCUUUUGAGCCCUAGAACGUGGAGAACUCAGGUGAGGACCCUCUCCCUUGAAUUUUCUCCCUUUUUCUUGUGAUUUAGCUUGGUUUGAUCUCCUCUUUUUGCUUCUCUUUGCUCUAUGUUGGUUUUUCUACUUUGGAGAAGCAUUGGAUUGAGGAUUGGAGCUCUUGGGAGGAAAGAUUUUCAACCCUAGCUUGUUUCUAACUUGGUUUGGAGCUUGAGGAGAGGUUAGUAUUUUAGAUCUUCUUUUUAGAUAUUGUUUUUGUGGAAUUUUUGAGAUGAAACCUAGAAAUGAGAAAUCUAGGAUUUAUUUGGGGAUUUUUGAUUUGUAGCUUUUGAAGCUUAAUUGAUUGGUUUAGAACUUUCCUCUAGGUUUGAUUAGAAGUGUUCUAACUUCCAUUUGGGAUUUGAGAGGGUUUUUCCAACAUUUAGGUGAGUUUUGACUCUAUGUUGGGUUGUUUAAUGUUAAUUCUGAGUACUUUUUCGUUACCUUGGUAUUCCUUCUGUAAUAUAUCCCAUGCUUCCUUUGAUCGAGUAGCGCCGGCAAUGUGGAAAAAUAUCGAAUCGUCAACUGAUUGUUGAAUAAAGAAAAACGUAUUUGCAUAUUUUUUCAGAUUCUCUCCGGUUGUUUCCUUGCAUCCUUUUUCGAUAAAAUCCUAUAAAUCUUGGGAUCACAGCAAUGUCCGCAUCUUCACGCACCAAAAAUCAUAAUUGUCCCCCUUGAAUAUCGGGAAUCCUUGUGCAACUCCUUUAGCGCUGUUAAACGCCAUCAACACCUUCUCUUUUCGAAAUCCAGGCUCUGAUACCCACUUGUUAUGGCGGUGGGCCUCCAACAAAUACGUUCUAUAUAUUUGUUAUGGUAUAUAGAGAUCUCCACAAAAAGUAAACUAGAAAAAACAAGAGAGGAAGAAGACAAAUCAAAGAAUCUGGUAUGUUGUCAUGGAAGCAAAACAAAAUAACUUUAUUGAAGAAAAUAACUAAUCACCAUAUGCAACCUUCGGCGAGCGCUAAUUAAUUAUGUCGACUCCCGGCUUCACUAACCAAAUAAUCCCGGCCUAUCUAUUUAUAACUAAUUACAUAGAAUCCUACUCUGAUUCGAUUUCAUCUUAAUCACAAUUUAAAUAAUAACCGAAUAUAUCUUAACCAUAAUUGAAUAUAAUAAUGGAUAAGAUCAAAUAAUCUAAUUCUAAUCUCAUUAGCAUUAUCUCUAACAAAAGCGUGCUUAAAUAUAGAAGAUGUGUCAUUGUUUGUCCCAAUCACAUCAUCGACAUAUACACACUAAAGUUUUUGCCACAAGAUUUUGUGAAAAGAGAGUAAUCGGCGACGAAUUGUUUAUAUCCAGCUGAUCGAAGAACAUUAGAAAACUUUUCAAACCAAUUCCGAGAUGCUUGUUUGUGGCCGUUGUAGGUCUACUUGCAAAAAAGCAUUAUUUACAUCUAGUUGGUAUAGUUCCCAUCCACGAGCAGCAGCAACAGCAACAGCAAGAAGACAACACACAGUUAUGAGUUUGGCGAUGGAAGCAAAAGUCUCAUGAUAAUCAAGACCCUCCAUUUGUGUAUAACCUUUAGCCACCAAACGAGCUUUAUAUCGCUCGAUGCUGCCAUCUGAAUUGUAUUUAAUUUUGAACACCCAUUUACACCCAAUAGGACGCUUUCUAGGCGGCAACAGUUCCAAAGUCCAUGUGUUAUUCAGUUUGAGUGCAUCAAGCUCCUUUCUAUUGAGGAUCUUUAACUGCUUGGGAAUAAGUGGCAGGUUCUGCAUAAGAGGAAAUACUAGAUAGAAAGGCACGGUGAGAGGCUGAGAAAUUUUCAUAGGAAAUAACAGAAAAUAAAGAUUGAGGUUUACCUGACGAAGUGGACGUUGAAUGUGUCAAUGAUGGAACCAAUAGCAGUACAAACAUAAUCAUCUAAUCUAGUAGGUCGUCGAGUAGCACGUGAGGAUUGUCGAGGUGCAUCAUCAACUUGAGUAGUGGAUGGUGGCUGAUUAUCAGCUGUGGGUGAAUGUUUUAUAUUAGUGUUGGAGUUCAUGAUAUCUUCAGUUGGUGAUGAAGUUGUGGGUGAUAAUAUAGGAUCAUCAUAAUUGACAUAAGUGGCAAUGGUGGUGGCGGGGUUAACAAUCACGUUUUGAUUAUUUGCUGAAUUAGAAUGAGAGGAAAAAACAUUUUCACAAAAGGUCACAUCACGACUAACAAAAAUUUUACCACUUUCAAUGUCAUAAACACGAUAACCUUUUUGUCCCAUAGGAUAGCCAACAAAAAUGCAACGCUUGUGUCACGACCCGCGACCACCCGCCUAUUUGGCCGAGGUCGCGGCGCCGCCGACAGACCGCUGAAUCGACAGAGUCUCCCUUGUACAUCAUAGGCGUCGCAAUCAAUACAAGUACAAGAAGUUCCAACCAGGAACAGUAUUCAAGCAAGAUUGCAUAAGGAAGGUAUCAAACAACAUAACACAUCCUAUGUUAUUACAAGCAUUCCCAUUAGAUUCAUUUUUACAUCACAUUAGCAUUAUUACAUUACAUUUUCUUCCAAAUACAAUUAAUGAUCGCAAUAUUAUUACAAGUUUGCUCUUUUUUUCUUUUCCCUCUACCCCUAGGCUAUGCUGACUCAGGGUACCUCUAUCUCUGGUCUCUGGGGUAGGGCGCUAUCUAUGGAGCUACGCCCUCGCCUUGCGCCGCCGCGCCGCUCACGUGCGAACCUGUAACACCCCAAACAACGGGGGGUGAGAACCAAUCCAUGUUCCAUGGGGUACGCCACCAAGGGAAGAGCUUGACCAAUAGGUCUAAGGAGGCCCUGCAACAUGUUAGUCCAACAGAUAUCUAACAGAUAUAUAUAUAUAUAUAUAUAUAUAUAUAUAUAUAUAUAUAUUAUAUUCAAGUAUUGAAAUACAUGUUGUGCCUCACAAUAUGCAUAAAUGAAUUCAUGCAGUUUAUGCAACCAUGCAACCAACUAGUAGUUCAAUCGAUACUACUUUUAUUCCUGUUAUUCACAGUUCAACCAAUUGACUUCUAAGUUUUUCUUAUCUUAGAUUCCUGUCAAUUACAGUUCUUCUCAUAGGGUUUAACCUACUUUUAUAAGCUAUCCACUCCACUCGGUCUUGAGUCAAUUAACAUGCGGAAUACCGCACAAAGCCAGGCUCAAGGUGAAGGAUGUCUCACAUGCCACCUACAGCCCUAAAUCCACUCAACUGGGAUGCAACUAAAACUCAUAUGAUGCAUCAUAUAGUAAAAUGGUGCUAUCAUGCUAACAAGUUCGAUCCAUGUUCGAUAAGCAAUGUUUAAUGACCAUAUUGACUUUCCAUUUACCCAAUCUGUGGCGAAAGCCUUGGGCUUGCCUACAACUCACAUUUCCAUCCCGUAUUGGGCAAGGGAGCUCCAUGUGCCCCCAAACUCGGGACUGUCUGCGGACCUCCAUGUGGUCCUAAUCGCCCGACACUCCGGAGUACUCGACGACAAUCCUCUCCAUGUGAGGAAAUGGAUGGUUAUACCACCACAAAUAAUAGACCGUGAGCUAGAUCUAUCUUCUCCAAGUGAGGAUACCCUACGAACUAUGGCCAACAUCUCAAUCGAAACUCGUCCACAUCCUGUCCAUGUGAGGAUACCUUACGAACUAGGGCUAACAAUGACUCGGGAAUCCACUAGUCCCAACAAUAAUGUCACAAGUGUCUCUACUACACUUAUUCUCAAAACAUGUCAUAGUGUCUCUACUACACUAGUCCAAAUGCCACUCGAUCUACUUGACACUCUAUUUGUGCACACCGAGUAUUAUAAUUUUCAUGUUCUUGUUUUCCAAUGUCAAUUUCUCUAAUCGACCAAGUUCAACAUGCAUAAUUCAUCUACUAUGUUCCACAAUAUGACAACAUGUAUAAUUCUUCUAUCAUAUGCAAUAUAUGUCAUCAUGUAUAUGUUUUUAUUUAACAUAAUCCACAAUAUGUUAAUUUACAACAUGUCAUCAUGCACAUAUAUUACUAGCAUCACAUGAUAUGUCAACAUACAUAUAAUCAUCAUCCAAAGUAGUCUAUACUUAGCAUCUUAUGCAUUCUUUUAGCAUUUAAUUCAUUAUACAUUUCAUCUCAUUGGUAGAUAAUAUCAACUACAUAAUAUGUUUCAAGCAUUCAUAUUAUCAUGUAAGCUUACCAAUACAACUAUAUGCAUCAAUGUGAAUUCGUAUUUUUCUUAGACAUAAAGGGCAACCUAGUCGCUUCGGAAAGCACAACACACCUCAAAUCGCUUUCCGAUUGCUUGUCGACACUUACAAUCGGCCUCCAGCGGUAUCCGUGUCCGGUUCGGCCCAAUUUUGCUAAUACUCACCAAUCGUGCAUCGAAUCGCGGCUCCGAAAAUUAUAGGUCUUCGGUUUUGUACCACGGUGCUCCAAAUCCGUUUUCAUGAUUUUACGAUAUCGCCUCGGCCCUCCAGGCGGAAACGAAGCCUAAACAUCCGUUUCUUUAAUAACUUCGCGUAGGCUCGACGAAUCGCCGAACCGACUUCGCCAACACGUUCGUUUACCUAGCAAUUAGAUUUACAGACGGUCAAAUUAGAUCAAACCCUUAUAUUUUAUAAAACCCCAUUCGGAGCCCUAAUAUGCAAUUAACCUCCAAAUAAUCCAAAUUAAAUGGAGCAACAUACUAACAAUGCUCAUUAGAGGCUAUUAGAACACUUAAAGCUAAGAAUUAAGCCAAAUCCCAAAAGCUUACCACAAUGUGAACGCCGCGACGAAAACACGCCGCUCCAACGGCCGCACGAGUGCUCGAAUCGACGCGUCCAACGCGUUCGCAAGCUCGCUCUCCACUAACCCUCAAAUUUUUAGAGAGAGAUUUGGAGAGAUGAGAGAGAUCUUUAGAGAGAGAAAAGAGGGUUUCUCCCUCCCUCUCCAUGCGUGCGUGUGUGGCGUGUGUGCUGUUCGGGCUGAGAGGGAAGAGGAAGCAAAGCUUCUUUAAUUAACACCCUCAAAACACUAUUUAUCUCCGGGCAGUUCGAAAUCUGAUAUCUUUCGCCGGAGCUCCCUAAAUAUCCGUUUGAGCUCAAAUUUGACAGUCAUGUUCAGUUUUACUUAACGAGUCCAAAGAAAUUUUAAUAUUUCAGUUUCGACCCCGUUUGGUCACCGAAAGCUCUACAGAACUGUAAUCUUUAUCAGAUAGCUGUCGGAUUUUAUUUUCCACUUUUCGGAUGUCAGAAUGGCAUGAAACUUUAAAUCUAGUCUCAUAAAAAUAAUUCUGACGUAUCCUCCAGUUUUCAUAAUUUUCUGACACUAUACAUUUUCUGCUAAUUUAUCUGCCCCGUUUCUUACAGAAAAUUUUGAAUCUUCUGUUUUCGCUCCGAUUUCAGCACAAGUCAUUCCCAACGUAUAUUUCACUCCUCUAAAUCCAAUAAAAUAGUACUCAUACUAUUUUUAUUUAUUUCCACUUUUAUAUUUAAAAUCCGGUAUGUUACAUUCCACAGUAACCUCACCGGAACCAUUUAAAUGUAUACCGUAACUUCAUAAUUUAGAAGUCCGGUACCUUACAGCUUGGCUCGGGGAUCAAACUUAUGUUUGUGAGUAUCAACAUUCCGUGCAUAACAAAAACACCCAAAGACACGUGAAUGAUCAUAACUAGGCUUAGAACCAAAGAGUACUUCGUGGGGUGAUUUGCCAUCAAGGAUAGGUGUAGGAAUCUUGUUUCUUAAAUAGGUUGCAGUGAGCACACACUCUCCCCAAAAAUUAAUAGGAAGAUUGGCUUGAAAACGCCAUGCCUUGUGCAACCUCAAAAAGAUGAUGAUGCUUACGCUCGACGACCCCAUUUUGCUGAGGGGUAUGAACACAUGAUUUUUGAUGAAUUAUUCCAUACUCUUGAAAUAACAGUUGCAUAGGUUGAGACAGAAAUUCUGAUCCAUUAUCAGUCCUUAUUUGUUUGACAUGACAACCAAAUUGAGUAUGCACCAAAUUAAUAAAAGCUUACAAAAAUUUUUAUACUUCAGAUUUAUAUCGCAUGAGAUAAAUCCAAGUACAACGUGAAUAAUCAUCACCUAUGCUCAAAAAAUAAUAUGCACCAGAAUGAGAUGGAGUAGAAUUUCUGCCCCCCCGUCCCCCAAAUGUCACAAUGAAUCAAGUUGAAAACCGAACAACUUCUACUCAAACUAGAUUGAAAGGGCAAACGAGUUUGUUUAGCAAGAGGACAUGCUUCACAAAAUUCAAGAGAAAAAGAAUAGUCAUGAAAAAGAGAAAGGGAAAGGCCAGCAAGCCUAUGUUUGGAAGGAUGGCCGAGUCUCUGAUACCAUGUAAAAAGUGAUUAAGUGAAAAAGAAUAGAAAAUUCAAAUUGGAGUGAUAGACAUUGGUCUAAUUUCUUUGAAAUUUGAUAGUAUGUACAGGAUUUAAUAUACAUCAUAUAUGAAUCAAUCAAGAAAGGAAAAAAUAAUACAAAAUAUUAUUGCCUUCCAUGUGCGGUCAUUAAAUCCAUUAUUGCCUUCUAUAUGCUAUCAUUAAAUCCAUUAAAAAAACCAGCUGAAUUGGCAAGAUAAUCUUGGUCCAAAAUUGUUAGGCAAAUCUCGAUCAUCCUCUUCAUCAAAUCUCUAUCAAAUAUUCAUAAAAUAUAUAAACUUUAUUUUCUAAUAUUGGACCCUUUACUAGUGGAUUUUAGUUUAUAGAUAAUCGAUUUAUUGAAGAUUUAAGGGUUUCCAAUUUGUUAGGUGUUUAACUUGUUCUUGAGAUUAGAUGUUAUUGCUUGAUCUUUACAGGUUUUUCUGCCUUGCAUAUUUGCGAUUAAUUAAUUGCAAGUAUGCGUGUAAUAUACCGAAACAUUGGUAGAGUAUUCUGGACUUUAGCCAAAUUGACUAAAGUGCCCGAUUGAAAUAGUUGGGCAAAGUCAAUUUAACAUUCCAACAAUGUUGGAAGGAUUAAAAGUGAGUUCCAAAAGAGUUAGAAAGGUUUUAGCAUUGAUCGGCACGAAAAAAUAAUCAAAACGAUGCAAAACUGGAAUUCUGGAACAUGUGUUACCGGUUUAACACCAGGGGUGUACCGGUACUGGAUGGCUGACCGAGAGCAGCAGCUCUCGGGUUAGCCUCUGCGAAACUAUGUAAUCGGUGACAAAUCCUUUUGUACCGGUACCAAGUGUAAAACCCGAAACACCAGUUCUCGGGUUUGGUUCUGCGAAAUCGUGUAACCGAUGACAGACCACCUUAUACUGGUACCAGAUGUCCUUCGCAGCAGAAUUAAGUCUGCUGCAAAUAUGAAGAUUGGGAGGGUCUUUUUGCAAUUUGGCAACCCAUAUAAGACCCCACACACCCCUCCCACCUGUUCACAACAGCAAGCACCUCUCUCUCUCUCUCUCUCAUUUCUCUUUUUCUCUCUCUAGAGAUCUCCUCAAGGAGCUAAGAGAAGGAGUUGGUGUAACAUACCAGAUUUUGGUAUAAAAAUAAAAAUAAAUAAAAAUAGUGUGAGAAACUAUUUUUAUUAAAUUUAGAAAAGUAAAACAUAAGUCAGAAAUGACUUGUGCUGAAAUCGGAAUGAAAACAGAAGAUUUAUAAUUUUCUGUUGGAAACGGGACAGAUAAAUUAGCAGAAAAUGCAGAGUGUCAGAAAAUUAUGAAAACUGGAGGAUAAGUCAGAAUUAUUUUUAUGAGGCAAGAUUUAAAGUUUUAUAUCAUUCUUACACCCGGAAGGUGGAAAAUAAAAUCCGACAGCUAUCUGAUAAAGAUUACAGUUCAGUACAGUUUUUGAUGACCAAACGGGGUCGAAACUGAGAUAUUAAAAUUUCUUUGGACUCGUUAAGUAAAACCAAGUAUGACUGCCAAAUUUGAGCUCAAACGGAUUUUCAGGGAGCUCCGGCGAAAGAUAUCAGAUUUUGAACUGCCCGGAGAUUAUUGUGUUUUGGGGUGUAAUUAUAAAUGAAGCAAUUUGCUUCUUCUCCCUCAGCCCGAGCAGCAGUCCACCAUCACACGCACGCAUGGAGAGGGGGAGAGAAACCCUCCUUUCUCUCUCUAGAUUCCUCUCUCAUCUCUCUAUAUCUCUCGCUCAAAUUCGCGGCUUUGGCGGAGAAGAUGCUUGCGAACGCGUUGGAGGCGACGUAUCGAGCUUUCGUGCGCCCGUUGAAGCGGCGUGCUUUCGUCGCGGCGUUCACGUUUUGGUAAGAAUUUGGGAUUUUGUUUAAAUCCUUCAUGAAUGAUGUUCUAGUAGUAUCUAGAGUGUUCUAAACAUGUUGCUCCAUUUAAUUUGGAUUAUUUGGAGGUUAAUUGCAUAUUAGGGUUCCGAAUGGGGUUUUGUAAAAUAGUAGGUUUUGAUCUCAUUUGACCCUCCGUAAACCUAAUUGCUAGGUAAACGAACGCGUUGGAGAAGUCGGUUCGGCGAUUCGUCGAGCCUACGCGAAGUUAUUAAGAAAACGGACGUUUAUGCUUCGUUUCUGCCUGGAGGGCCGAGGCGACAUCGUAAAGUCAUGAAAACGGAUUUGGAGUACCGUGGCACAUAACCAAAGACCUAUAAUUUUCGGUGCCGCGAUUCGACGCACGGUUGGUGAGUAUUAGCAAAAUCAGGCCGAACCGGACACGGGUGCCGCGGGACGCCGAUUGCAAGUGUCGACAAGUAAUCGGAAAGCAACUUGAGGUGGGUUGUGUUUACCGAAGCGACUAGGUCGCCUGUAUGUCUAAGAUAAAUGUUCAUCAUUGAUGCAUGUAGUGGUAGCUAUUGAUAUAGCAUAAGUAUGCAUGAGAUGAAGGCUAAAUGAGCUACCAAACAAUGCAUGAUGACUUAGUGUAAAUAGUGCUAGAUGAAUGCAUUGUUAAGGCUAAAGUAUACAUGAUAAGUAUGCAUGUGGAUAAUGCUAAGUAACGAUAUGGUAUGAUAAGCAUGAUAUAGAAAUAAGAAAUGCAAGCAUGUGGUUAAUGCUAAGAAUAUAGAUGAUGACAUGAUAAAAAUGCUAAGUCCAUGUAUGAUAAGCAUGUUUUAGGGAUGCUAAAAUGAGAAUACUAAGUAAAGGACAUAUCAUGUGAUGCUAGUGGUAUAUGUGCAUGAUGACAUAUUGCAUGUGGUAAAUAACAUUUGCAUGUUAACAUAAAGUAGAGAACAUGCUAGUUGUAAUGCAUAAUGAUAAGUUGUAAAGAAUGCUAGUUUGAAUAAGCAUAUUAUAUAAAUGCUAGAUGAUGCAAGCUAACAUAUAGAGGUUUAUGUUAAUGGAUAUGGACAAUCUAUAUACAUUAGAUCGAGUGGCAUUUAACCUAGUGUGAAUGAACAUAGGUUGAACAUGAAUGAUAUAAACCUAGUGUCAGUAAACCUAGGUCGGACAUGAAGGAUCACAUUGAACCUAGUGUUAAUAAACAUAGGUUGGGCAAGGGUGGAAAUUAACCUAGUGUUAAAGAACAUAGGUUAAGAUUGAACCUAGAGUUAAAGUAAACCUAGAUUGUGAGAUAAAGAUAGUGAACCUAGAGUCAAGUGGACCUAGGAUGGAAAGGACAUUGGACCUAGAUAGGUCAUUAUUAUAGGAUUAAAGCCAACCCUUGAGUUAUGUGAAAUGGAUUCCGGAAUCCUAGAGCUUAUGGAACACCCAAGGUGGUGUUGGGCGUGUGCGAUGAUUUCGCCGUCCGGGGCUAUACCAUCGACGUGGCGUGUGCGACGAUUUCGCCGCCGGAUGGGUGAGCCGAAUUGUGGUUUAUACCGGUUGUGCCGGGUUGUGGAUUAUACCGCUGGUUGACUCGAACCACUGACGUGGCGUGUGCGACGAUUUCGCCGCCGGUUAGCUAGGUCAUAGAGCGCGGUGAGCUGUGGAAGGCUGAGGUGCAUGUGUGAGUUCCUUCACCUCGAGCUGGACAGAGCGCAGAUUAUCCGCCGUUGAUUGACUCAAGAUGGAGUCGAGUGGCAUAGUGUGACCAAGGUAAGAAUAACUUUAGAAAAGAAUGGCCAAUGAGCAAGUUGUAUCUAUGAAUAAAGAAUAAAGAAUAGCUAAGAGAAAAGAAUAGCUAUGAGUAAAGAAUAGUCAAGGACAAAGAAGGACUAAGAUUAAAAAGUAGAAUUAAAGUAAUCUACUUGGUUGGUUGCAUAGUUUCAUUUUGCAUAUUGAGAGGCAUGACAUGUAGUUCAAUAUUGAGUAAAUGUAUAAAUAUCUGUUAUAUGUUAUUGGACUAACCUGUUGCAGUGCCUCAUUAGACCUAUUGGUUGAGCUUUUCCCUUGGGUGGCCGUACCCACUGGGAAUCAUGGAGUUGGUUCUCACCCCACGUUGUUUUGGGGUGUUACAGGUUCGCACGUUAGUGGCGCGAGGCGAGGGCGUAGCUUCCGUAGUUAGCGCCCUACCACCGAGACCAGAGAUAGCAGUAUCCUGAGUCGGCUACUUAGGGAUGUAAGAAAAUGAAAGGAAUAAGAUUGCAAUAAUUUGUAAUAAAAGCAUGAUUGUAUCUGAAAGUUAAAUGUAAUAUGUAACUGUGAUGUAAAAUGUAUCUAGUGAAUGUGAAUGCUUGUAAUAACAAGUAGGUUAUGUUUUUGAUACUUCCUUAUGCAAUCUUUGAUUGAAAUGUGUUCCUGGUUGGAAUUUCGUACAUUGUUUUGAUUGCGACGCCUUGGACGUAUAGGGGAGACUUUGUCCGUGGUACAGAAAAAACUCUGUCCGUUCGGCGGUCUGUCGGCGGCGCUGUGACUCGGCCAAAUAGGCUGUUUGCAUCGAGUUCGUGAUUUAUUUGAUACCGGUGCAUCGCAUUCAUUCAUUGAUCGGCUGUUUGCAUAGUUGCAUGGCAUCCCCUUUGUUUCUUUGUUGCAUCCGGGACGUGUCGUCGUCCCCGACCACUCCUUGGACAUUAGGGAGUUUUG